GCAUAUCAAUAAGCGGAGGAAAAGAAACUAACAAGGAUUCCCCUAGUAACGGCGAGUGAAGAGGGAAGAGCCCAAGAUUGAAAGCUGGCGUCUUCGGCGUCCGCAUUGUAAUCUCAAGAAGUGUUUUCCGCUUCGGACCAUGCCUAAGUCCCUUGGAAAAGGGCAUCAUAGAGGGUGAUAAUCCCGUACAUGGCAUGGAGCGCCCGAAGCUUUGUGAUUACACAUUCUACGAGUCGAGUUGUUUGGGAAUGCAGCUCAAAAUGGGUGGUAAAUGCCAUCUAAGGCUAAAUAUUGGGGAGAGACCGAUAGCGAACAAGUACAGUGAUGGAAAGAUGAAAAGAACUUUGAAAAGAGAGUUAAACAGUACGUGAAAUUGCCAAAAGGGAAGGGUAGGAGGUCAGAGAUGCGUCUUGGAAUUCAGCCUUGCUUUUGCUUGGUGUUUUUUCCAAUUUGCAGGCCAACGUCGGUUUUGGGCACUGGAGAAGGGUAGGAGGAACGUAGCACCUCUCGGGGUGUGUUAUAGCCUCCUACUGGAUACAGCGACCGAGACCGAGGAUAGCAGCGUACUCGCAAGAGCGGGCCUUUGGGCACCUUUACGCUUAGGGCGUUGGCAUAAUGGCCCUCUACCACCCGUCUUGAAACACGGACCAAGGAGUCUAACAUGUAUGCGAGUCUUUGGGUGGCAAACCCAUAGGCGCAAUGAAAGUGAAUUCAGGUGGGAUCCGCAAGGUGCACCAUCGACCAAUCCUCACGUCUUUAGAUCGUGGAUUUGAGUAAGAGCAUACCUGUUGGGACCCGAAAGAUGGUGAACUAUGCCUGAAUAGGGUGAAGCCAGAGGAAACUCUGGUGGAGGCUCGUAGCGGUUCUGACGUGCAAAUCGAUCGUCAAAUUUGGGUAUAGGGGCGAAAGACUAAUCGAACCAUCUAGUAGCUGGUUCCUGCGA
rnacentral:rRNA from 1 species